ACCCUCCAGAUUCCUCUCCCUCAGAUCUAAACAUUGGUCUGAUUGGUGUUAAAUGGAGGAAAAAUAAAAUUGAAGUGAACUUGGUGAACUUUAAUGACUUCCAAGUUCAUUUCAAACAUUG
ensembl:snoRNA